GAUGAACGCUGGCGGCGUGCCUAAUACAUACAAGUCGAGCGAAUGACGAGGAGCUUGCUCCUCUGAUUUAGCGGCGGACGGGUGAGUAACACGUGGGUAACCUGCCUGUAAGACGGGGAUAACUCCGGGAAACCGGAGCUAAUACCGGAUGAUAACGAGAAGCGCCUGCUUCUUUUUUGAAAGUCGGUUUCGGCUGACGCUUACAGAUGGGCCCGCGGCGCAUUAGCUGGUUGGUGAGGUAACGGCUCACCAAGGCGACGAUGCGUAGCCGACCUGGGAGGGUGAUCGGCCACACUGGGCCUGAGACACGGCCAGACUCCUACGGGAGGCAGCAGUAGGGAAUCUUCGGCAAUGGACGAAAGUCUGACCGAGCAACGCCGCGUGAGCGAUGAAGGCCUUCGGGUCGUAAAGCUCUGUUGUCAGAGAAGGACAAGUACCGGAGUAACUGCCGGUACCUUGACGGUACCUGACCAGAAAGCCACGGCUAACUACGUGCCAGCCGCCGCCGUAAUAC
rnacentral:rRNA from 1 species